GGGCUGACCUGGACUCAACGCAUUUUGGGCAAUAGUAUUUAUAUACCACCUCUUGAUGGGAUUUCUGAUGAAGCAUGGGAUUCAAAAAAUAUGAGGAGACUAGAUGCUGGCCCAACAAUGCUUCAUGGCCUUAGUGAAGGAGAAAAAUCUAGUGUAGUCCCUCCCAGUUAGAGCCAUCAAAACGAACCGACUGGGCUCAUGGAGGGCCGGGCCAAAAAAGUCGUUUUAAUAAACAGGCCAUCA
rnacentral:lncRNA from 1 species